rnacentral:rRNA from 1 species
UACGAAGGGUGCAAGCGUUAAUCGGAAUUACUGGGCGUAAAGGGUGCGUAGGCGGUUUGUUAAGUCUGUUGUGAAAUCCCCGGGCUCAACCUGGGAAUUGCAUCCGAUACUGAUUGGCUAGAGUAUGAGAGAGGGAGGUAGAAUUCCACGUGUAGCGGUGAAAUGCGUAGAUAUGUGGAGGAAUACCGGUGGCGAAGGCGGCCUCCUGGCUUAAUACUGACGCUGAGGUGCGAAAGCGUGGGGAUCAAACAGG